UGAUGAUGGAUUUCAGGCUACAUUGGGCCCCUCUCUCUGCCCGGCAGUCGCUGGGAGGGGAGGCUCAGCCUGGAGCCAUUGGUUUGUGCCAGGGAGAGGGUUUAGUGUCGGCAAGAUGCCAGCAGCUUGGCCAGGCCCAGCCUGGGGCCGGGGCCCCACAGCCUCCGUCCCCUGCCUGGGAGCUGUUGGGGUCCAGCCCGGCGUCCCCCAGGCCACACAGGCUGUGGGUGAGCAGGGCCGGCCUCACCAGAGCUCUGGUACCUUUCAAAGCUUGGAAGAAAGAGAGAGUUCCCGGGUUUGUGGUUUUUAAGAUGUGGAAUUCACAGAGGUGGAUCUAAUUUCUAAAUGGUGCAAAAUGCUGUCAGUUCUCAGAACUAGCCAGCUGUUGGCCUGUCUCAGGCACAGAGAAAGCUCUCAGCAGCUUUUCUCAGAGAAAUCACUUCCAUGGUUUCUUACUUCUUCCCCAAAUGUCAAUCAGUGUGAAACCACUACAAUAACAGUGAUUAUUUUUCAAUUGUUUAAAUGUCUUUUCAGUUUACGGCAUGGAUGUAAAAAGCCACAGAUGACAAGACAUCAGUGGGAGUGUCAUUUGUUCCACCAGGACAAAAGGAAUACAUUUCUAAUGUGUGCAAGGAAGCAAAAAACAGAGAGCCCAGAGGUGUCUGAAAUGAGGAUGUAUUUGGAUUUAGCCAGAGAAGAAUGGUGGAACUGCCUUCUGCUGAUGGUCUGUGGCAUUGUGUCAAUACUUUGGAUGCCCCAAAAGAGAGAAUAAGUAUCAUGGUACCAGCAAGUUCAAUGGAGUGGAUGCUCUGUCCACAGGAAUCCUCAUGCCCCACCAGCACCCUCAGCUGCCUAGCUGUCAUGCCAGAGUUAAG
rnacentral:lncRNA from 1 species